rnacentral:rRNA from 1 species
AUUGAACGCUGGCGGCAGGCCUAACACAUGCAAGUCGAGCGGCAGCGGGAAAGUAGCUUGCUACUUUUGCCGGCGAGCGGCGGACGGGUGAGUAAUGCCUGGGGAUCUGCCCAGUCGAGGGGGAUAACUACUGGAAACGGUAGCUAAUACCGCAUACGCCCUACGGGGGAAAGCAGGGGACCUUCGGGCCUUGCGCGAUUGGAUGAACCCAGGUGGGAUUAGCUAGUUGGUGAGGUAAUGGCUCACCAAGGCGACGAUCCCUAGCUGGUCUGAGAGGAUGAUCAGCCACACUGGAACUGAGACACGGUCCAGACUCCUACGGGAGGCAGCAGUGGGGAAUAUUGCACAAUGGGGGAAACCCUGAUGCAGCCAUGCCGCGUGUGUGAAGAAGGCCUUCGGGUUGUAAAGCACUUUCAGCGAGGAGGAAAGGUGGUUGGCUAAUACCCAAUCGCUGUGACGUACUCGCAG